AUUGAACGCUGGCGGAAUGCUUUACACAUGCAAGUCGAACGGCAGCACGGACUUCGGUCUGGUGGCGAGUGGCGAACGGGUGAGUAAUAUAUCGGAACGUAUCCAAUAAUGGGGGAUAACUAAUCGAAAGGUUGGCUAAUACCGCAUACGUCCUACGGGAGAAAGCUAGGGACCUUCGGGCCUGGCGUUAAUGGAGCGGCCGAUAUCGGAUUAGCUAGUUGGUGAGGUAAAGGCUCACCAAGGCGACGAUCCGUAGCUGGUCUGAGAGGACGACCAGCCACACCGGAACUGGGACACGGUCCAGACUCCUACGGGAGGCAGCAGUGGGGAAUUUUGGGCAAUGGGCGAAAGCCUGAUCCAGCCAUUCCGCGUGAGUGAAGAAGGCCUUCGGGUUGUAAAGCUCUUUCGCAAGAGAAGAAAACUUACCCUCUAACAUAGGGUGAGGUUGACGGUAUCUUGAUAAGAAGCACCGGCUAACUACGUGCCAGCCGCCGCCGUAA
rnacentral:rRNA from 1 species